rnacentral:rRNA from 1 species
UGCCCAGACUCCUACGGGAGGCAGCAGUGGGGAAUAUUGCACAAUGGGGGAAACCCUGAUGCAGCAACGCCGCGUGAGUGAUGACGGCCUUCGGGUUGUAAAGCUCUGUCUUCAGGGACGAUAAUGACGGUACCUGAGGAGGAAGCCACGGCUAACUACGUGCCAGCAGCCGCGGUAAUACGUAGGGAGCGAGCGUUGUCCGGAAUUACUGGGUGUAAAGGGAGCGUAGGCGGGGAUGCAAGUUGGGUGUCAAAACUACCGGCUCAACGGGUAGUCGCACUCAAAACUGCAGCUCUUGAGUGAAGUAGAGGCAGGCGGAAUUCCUAGUGUAGCGGUGAAAUGCGUAGAUAUUAGGAGGAACACCAGUGGCGAAGGCGGCCUGCUGGGCUUUUACUGACGCUGAGGCUCGAAAGUGUGGGGAGCAAACAGGAUUAGAUACCCGCGUAAGC